UACGGAGGGGGCUAGCGUUGUUCGGAAUUACUGGGCGUAAAGCGCACGUAGGCGGCUUUGUAAGUUAGAGGUAGCAAAGCCCGGGCUCAACUCCGGAAUUCGCCUUUAAGACUGCAUCGCGUAGAAUUGUGGAGAGGUAAGUGGAAGUUCCGAAGUGUAGAGGUGAAAUUCGAUACGAUAUCGGAAGGAACAUCAGUGGCCGAAAGCGACUUC
rnacentral:rRNA from 1 species